GGCAACCCACUAGAGUCCACUUCCGGCAGUGGAAGCUUUGUUCUUUUGCUCUUUGCAGUAAAUCUUGCUGCUGCUCACUCUUUGGGUCUGCACUGCCUUUAUGAGCUGUUAACACUCACCACGAAGGUCUGCAGCUUCACUCCUGAGGCCAGCAAGACCACAAACCCACUGGGAGGAGUGAACAACUCCAGAUGUUCCACUUUAAGAGCUGUAACACUCACUGUGAAGGUCUGCAACUUCACUCCUGAAGCCAGUGAGACCAUGAACCCACCAGAAGGAAGAAACUCCGAACAAUCUGAACAUCAGAAGGAACAAACUCUGGACACACCAUCUUUAAGAACUGUUAACACUCACUGCGAGGCUCCGUGGCUUCAUUCCUCAAGUCAGUGAGACCAAGAACCCACCAAUUUCGGACACAAUGGGAGCAGACUUCUUUAUGUUCUCAUGAUAGAUGCACUUGCUUCCUCUUCUACCCUGAUUGCAAGUUUCCCGAGGCCUUAUCAGCCCUGCAAAACUGACUGGAGCCCAAGAGCAGGGGAUACCUGAAAUCCUAGGCACUGACAGGAGAACUUCAGACUGGAGAGGAGACCAGCUCUCCUGCAUCCCGGUGCCCUUCCCUAACAGCACAAUGGAACUGGCAAAGGGGCUACAGGACAAUUCCAGGAGCUGCGUGCAUUCUUCAAAAACGUGGUAAGGCCUGAAGCCCCAAGUCAAGACCCAUCCCAUAAGGAUGAAACGGGGGCCUAAUCACUUCCCAGGGUGUGACUACUCGUCUAACACAGAGGGGCUGAGGAAAGUGGGAGUGACCUGCCAGUUUGGAUGAAACUUACAACCUAACUGUCACAGCACAUGAAAGAGGCUCACUAAGUCAGUUUAGGAAAAUAAAAACUGAAACUAGACGUAGCAAGAAUGAGUUGCCACCCUAAUUAAAAAACGUGAACUGGGAGUGAAGAGGCAUGUGAAAGCACAUUAAAGAGACAGUUCUGGGAAGGGCCAACAUGGGGCAUGACAGGUGAAGGCACAGAUCUCUUAAUGUGGACUGUGGGCUCUGGAGCCAGUGUGUGGCUGACCAGAUCUAGAGCGAUCUGUAUAAGGCUGACAGGAGCUGCCCUACAGCUGCAGCAGCUGCAGUGGGAAUACGAUACUGUCCUAGCUAAGCAGUGCAUGAAAUUCCCGUAAUAGGAACCAGUCUGAUCAGUCUGUAACAAAAGGUAGAGUGAGUGUGUGUCAUAAAAGGAGGAAUGGGAGGAAAAUCAUCAAAAGCUUCUCCAUUGGAGUGCAUGUUAAAUAAUUCUGGGAAACGCUUUGGAGGAGAUUAUGGGGUAAAACUGACCCCCCAAAGGUUGAGAACUCUCUGUGAAUUAGACUGGCCUUCUUUUAAUGUUGUGUGGCCUGCCAAAGACACAAUAGAUAGGGAAGAAAUUGGCCAUGUGUUUAAGGAAGUGACAGGGGUUGGAGAACAGCCUGGGAAUCUAGAUCAGUUCCCAUAUAUUGAUUCCUGGUUGAACAUGGUUCUAACACAUCCCAAAUGGAUACAACCUUAUUUGACAAGUUAUUGUAAGUCUCUGGUAGCCUGAGCUAUACCUAAGGAAGUUGAGAAGU